GAGGAGCCAGGGAGUUAGAGGCUGGUCUCGCCUGCUGGCUGUAAGCCUGACACUAUCUGUAGCUACAAGUUAACAGGAACUGUCCCUUUAAGAGCAGAGUGGACAUUUGAUUGUAUUUUCCGGAUGCAGUGCAUAGGCGAUUACUCCUGUGUGCUCACAGAGUGGAAGAGCCCACCAAUGUAUGCUCUAACAAGAUGCUUCCUUUUGAAAACAAGCACUGUACUAUAAAUGGCAGAUGAUCACCAUUCAAUUCUUUGUGAAAGAAAUUUCCAUGUAGCUCAGUUAUGUGCACUGAAAUAGUGCCGAAGGACUUCACUAUUCAUAGACCAACAAUCUCCUUCCUCAGUCUGAGAUCUUCAUUUCUGUUUCCCAACAUUUUUCUUCCUUAACCCCUUAACUGCAGGCUAACAUGCAUUUUUCCCAUCUGCCUCUGCUAACUUGAAAGCUCAAUUCUUGGUUGAAACCUAACUGCAGAUAAGACAUUUUCAUCAUGAUGAAGUAAUUACAUACUGUACCUGCAUAAAAGCUACAUACAUCUGUAUAUUUAAUGUAGUAUUUUGCUUCAGUGGAAACUCUGGGUGGUCAACACCUCUGAAAAUCAGGCCACUUCUUUAGGCACUUGUGUACUGGGGUGCCUCACUUUAAACUCUCAAAUUUGAAAAUGUAGCUCUUAACCUCAUUUGUAUUUAGCUACCUGUCUGUAAAAUGGGCACACUCCUCCCCAUUGGCAAAGUAGAUUUGAAAUCUAAAUCUCAAAAGCAGUAUGUUAUAAUGUUCCUUUUCCAUUCAACUGAAUGUUAUCAUAGUCUUUCUGCAUGAAUGCUAGUUGGCUUA